ACAAAAGGAAGCACAAAGAUUACAGCUAUGCUUUGUCCAAGUGAAUGGAUAAAUUCUCACUCAUCCUCUUAGAGGAAAACUGGUAACAAAUGCUCCUUUCCAAGCCAGUUUUUUAAGACCCCAAGCCAGCUUUGGACCACGGCUUCAGUAGAUGUUUGUGUGUGGAUUUAGGAUGAUCCACUCUUAACUGUUACUUGCUACAGUGUUGCUCUCCUCCCUGUCUUCGCUCAGCGUGUAGAACGGUGGGUCCUCGGUUGUGUCUCCAGGAUCAUCGUUGCCUGCCCCAUCACCAUCAAAGGAGCCUCUCAGCUGCAGUGGUGGAUCCAGCCCAUCCAGUGGUCCACCUGGGAGGUCUCAGCCAAGCUAUCUCAACACACUCCUCUGCUUGGAAUUGGUACUAUGUAUUAUCUUUGUUUUAGGAUGUAGGGUAGGAACUGAGUCUAUUAAUGUUUUUCUCAACACUGUAUUCCCAGGCCUAAUAAGGCUAGUAGGUGCAGUAAUAACCUGUUGUUAGAGCAAAAAAGAUGGCAUAAGUUGUCUCCCUUGUUGUUUGAGCCUCUUUGAAACUUUUCAUUGGUAGUGAACACAAAAAGGAUUAAAGCUCUGCCUACCAACAUCUCUGCCACAAGAGACUGGCCCCCACUGUGAGAAUGCUCUGCCUGAUCUCUGAAGAUUCACAGGCUUCCAGGCACGAUCAU
rnacentral:lncRNA from 1 species